GUUUUUCCAUAUUUUCAAUUCCAAUUUCAAUCUCCCUCUCGUUUUUUUUGUUUGUUUUCUUAAAUGUUUUUCUGUUUUGCUAAGUGUUAAGAUCGUUUUUCUGUCUUUUUAGUUGGAAAAUUUAUGUUGAUAGGUCAAGGGUUGAGAAAAUUUGUUAGGGUUUCUUUUCCUUUUCAUUUUAUUGUAAUUUUUAUAAGGUUACUUGGCUUAAUGAUAAUGAAAUGGUUUUGAUUUGAUAUGAAAAAGCUUUAAU
rnacentral:misc_RNA from 1 species